AGCGGAGGAAAAGAAACUAACAAGGAUUCCCCUAGUAACGGCGAGUGAAGAGGGAAGAGCUCAAAUUUUAANUCUGCCUUGUUCCAAGGUCGAGUUGUAAUUUGAAGAAGCGUUUUCUUGGGCUCGCGGCCGGUAGAAGUUCUUUGGAACAGGACAUCAUAGAGGGUGACAAUCCCGUCCGUGACCGGUCGUGCGUUCAUCUACGAUACGCUUUCAAAGAGUCGAGUUGUUUGGGAUUGCAGCUCCAAACGGGUGGUAAACAUCACCUAAGGCUAAAUAUUGGCGAGAGACCGAUAGCGAACAAGUACCGUGAGGGAAAGAUGAAAAGAACUUUGAAAAGAGAGUUAAACAGUACGUGAAAUUGUUGAAAGGGAAACGAUUGAAGUCAGUCGUGCUGGCGCGAAAUCAACCCUCUCGUCUUGAGAUCACAUGGCGCGACGAGCCUCAAAACCGUCACGAAGCGUGAACUCUUGACGAAAAGGUGCACUUUCGUGUCCGCUGGUUAACAUCAAUUUCGAACGUCAUAAAAAGGCUGGAGGGAUGUGGCUCCUUCGGGAGUGUUAUAACCUUUAGCGGAAUGUGGCGUUCGGGAUUGAGGAUUGCAACGAAUACCUUCAGGGCUGUUCCACCUGGCUUCUCAUUGGUAUCCUGGUGACGACAGCUUGCUGACGUCGUUAGGAUCAGCUUCUGAACAGGCUAGAGUGUGAGCAAAUUCGUWAAGGAUGUUAACGUAAUGGCUUUAAACGACC
rnacentral:rRNA from 1 species